CAUCUUUUCUUAAAGCCCCGGAGUGCUUAUAUUAAACCUGCCGGCUUGCCGGCUAUGGCGAUAAAUGGGCGUCGUAAUAAACCUAUCGGACCCGGGGGCAGUACCCGGCGCCUCCACCAAAUGCCGUCAGGAGGCUGAACUGACGGUAUCUGUGGGGGCGAAACAGGAUCGACGAGGGCGUAAAGGACGUACUUUUGCUCGGCAUGGUACCGCCGUUAUCGGGCCGUUUUAUAGUUGCAAACGACAACUAUGCUCCGGUGGCUCAGGCUGCGUAACGCAGUUUGAUCAUCGAAAUUCAAGUCCUGGGCCGUAGCAGGCUCUAGGCGGGGUUUGGAGGGCACCUGGCAACAGAAGCCCUCCGCU
rnacentral:tmRNA from 1 species